rnacentral:rRNA from 1 species
CUUGAUGGUAGUGUAUUGGACUACCAUGUCGAUCACGGGUAACGGAGAAUUAGGGUUCGAUUCCGGAGAGGGAGCCUGAGAAAUGGCUACCACAGCUACGGUAGGCAGCAGGUGCGUAAAUUACCCAAUCCAAAUUCUGGAAGGUAGUUACAGGAAAUUUGUUGCAUGGGGUUUACCUCAGACACAAACGAACACAUGUAAGUAUUGUGUGUUUAAUUGGAGGGCAAGUUUUGGUGCCAGCAGCCGCGGUAAUUCCAACUCCAAGAGUGUAUCUUAAUGUUGCUGCAGUUAAAAAGCUCGUAGUUGAAUUUCUGGCUGUUGAGUCUGGCUUGUCUGGAUCUCGGCAGUCAUCCGCUAGGAGAAGCUGUACUUCCGUCAAAAGUAGUACUGUAGACCCAGCAUUUUACUUUGAAGAAAUUAGAGUGUUCCUGGCAGGCUCCGCUUGCAUAUAUUAGCAUGGAAUAAUGGAAUAAGACUUUGUCUGUUUUUUUGGUUAACAGAUGAGUAAUGAUUAACAGGGACAGUCGGGGGCAUUCGUACUCAGUGGCUAGAGGUGAAAUUCUUAGAUUCGCCGAAGACGCACUAAUGCGAAAGCAUUUGCCAAGGAUGUUUUCAUUAAUCAAGAACGAAAGUUAGGGGAUCAAAGACGAUUAGAUACCGU